rnacentral:lncRNA from 1 species
AAAAAAAAGACCCGAACACUGGAUUUUAUUGCAUCAAAUUAUUUUUAAGCAAUGCAUGUCCAGAGAACAGCAACAUUUAGUGCCAGAAGGGGACGUGUUGGUGCUGCAGGUAUUUGCAGAGAGGGCUGCGGCGGCCCGAGCUCCAUGUCCUGCAUUGCUCUGCAGAGUGGGAUGGCUGUGUGCCCAUGUACCAGGCCCACGUACCCGCAUGGGGAAGUGCAAUUAAGAAAUAUUCUUUAUUCAAUUUGCCACUGGCCUUCCUGCAGAUCACAUUAUUGAAAGAUGAAUUCAAUUUCAAAGUUGUUUUUAAAAUCUUCGGGUUUGUUCUUUUCAAUGAUUUUUUCCCAUUUUUCUUAUGUAAAGUCACAGGAAAACCUCAUUGCAGCUAAUAAACCCUAAUGAGCACAAAAAGUAAUGACAGAAAAAUGAAAAUGAUGAGCAAGAAGUGAUGCUGGGCCAGCGCUGCGGAAAACACAGCCCCCCAGCCUGACCUGCCAGGAGACAGCUAUCCAGCUGCCUCACGAAUAGCACCAUUUCAGGAGCUGCACACGAUUUCAGGAGCUGCACCCUCCCUCCUGACGGCAGCCCGUUGCUCAGCCUGCCCUUCUGCAGCUGUGGGACGGAGCAGGGAGCGUUCAGCAGGGCUGGGAGCAGCGCCGUGGGUUGGAGCUGCUGCUGCCCCGCGGGCUGAGCGCCCAUCUCCAGGGGCGGCUGCAGGGCUCUGCGCUCACUGCGUGGUUUCAGUAGUAAACCAAAUUGUUCCCAAUCUCCUUAUCUUAUCUGCAGGUUCCAAGGGCACGUCCUCCGCACGCUGCCUGGAAACACGCCCCGCUCGGCGGCCGUCCUGCGGCAGGGCCGGCAUAAGGAGGCAGAUCUGCUUACCGCCGCCGUUCCCCGGAGGCUGAAUGUGCUGAGAUGCGCUGUGCGGUGGAGGGCACCUCUGCGUAGUGACCUUGAAUGGGCAAAACCUGUAAAAACAACGGAGGUGGUGAGGAGAGGUUGGUCCUCCUGCUCCCACGUUGCAGGCAGCUGCGUGUCCUGAGAAGUGCACAUCUGGGCACCCACACGUCUGCACUGCUGCCCCUGCAUCUCUUUACACCCACACAUCUGGACACCUGCACAUCUGGACAGUGGCAUCAUUGGCUCCGAUGUCUCCAUGCAGAGCUCCACAGCACACAGAAGCACACAGGGAGCUGUAGCUUGUGUGGCCUGGUUGGUGCCCUUCUGCAGUCCCAAAUGCACCUGAUGGCUCCCAGAGCUCCCUGGAGAACUCAGAGAAGAUGUUCAGCCCACAUCAUUCCUUUUCCUUGAGAGGCACUCUGCGGGAUGAAGCCUCCCCACCCUCUCUGGGUGGGAUGCAGCCUGGAGCAGCAGCGAGGGAGCGCACAGCCCUGCCUUGGCCUGGGAGCUGCUGCAUGCACGGAUCUCUGUGUGUAAGCUGGGAUGUCUCUUCUGUGCAGUGCUCCCACCGAGCGCCUCUGGGCACUCAGCUCCCUGACCCUGUAACUCCUUACCCUCAUCUCUGUGAUUCGGAACAAAGCCAUCCCCAGGCGCCUCGAGCACACGGCCCCUGUCUCCGUGACGUGUAGAGCAGUCCCCAUCGUGCUGCAGACAGCAGAUGAUAAUGCAUGGCUUUGUUUGUCCCUACGUGCCUGCACAGUGCCCCUAACGCUGCAGUGUGAAUGGUGCUGCACAGCGGGGCUGCAGAGGGGUCACCACGGCCCCAGUCACAGCGCUCUGCUGUGGGGUAGCGACCUCUGAGUGUCACAGAUUGAGCACUGAUCCUCAGAGUAAUGCUGCUGUUAGAGUCUGGGUGAUAAAGGGACUGAACUUGCACUGAAAUUAGGGGAGGAGAAGGCAAUCAACAUAGUGCUGAUGUUUGCUCCAGUUCUCUGCCAUGGGAAGGGCUCCCUGCAGGAGGUCACUGCUGUGUGUGUGGGGCUGUCCUGGUUAGCAGAGCUGCGGGGUCAGGGGUGCAAAAGGCACUCAGUGCUUACCCAGAGGGCUUUCUUCUGCCUCGAUCAAGGAACCAAGGCAAGUCAACGUGGGAUGGCUGCAGGCACAGCAGUGCUGGGAGCAGGUUCUGCUCUGUGCUGUGACACCUGCCGUGGAGCUGCCAUGGGGCAGGUGGGUGCGGGGGUCCUUUGCCACCAGCAGGGCUCAGGCUGACUCACAGCACCUCCCACUGGUGCUGCUGCUCAGAAUAAACCUGUGACCGGAUCUAUGUCCAUGGGAGCCAGGAGGACUUGGUAAUGCAAGUGGCAAUGAACAAAAAUUAAAAAAAUGUAUUUUCUUUGAAUCAACUGGAGGUGAGCUGGGCUAAGAUGGGAGCCUGAGUUGUCAGCCACACAGAGAUCUGCUGGGUGCUCUGAGGAAGGGGAACUCCUGGUGCUGCUCUGGAGUUGUGCUCACAGCAGGUGUGAGCUCAAGGAUUCGCACCCUCCAAGGCUGCCAGUACAGAAGGUCCAUUCAUGCCCUUUGGUUUACAACAAGGAAUUCACACAGAUCCUUUGUGAUGGUUAAUAUAUUAUCUGGGACUCUUUUUUUUUUUUGUUGUGUGUGUGUGUGUGCCAUAUACAGUGCCUUCAUCUGUGCCUUGUGCAAUAAACAAAUCCAUAGCAGCAAGAAAGAUAAAGCAGUCAUGUAAUAAUGGCUUGUGAUACCAAGUCAAGUAAUAAGCAGACCUUGAACAUUGCUGCUUGAGGGCAAAUCUGGGAACCCUCUUCUGCAGCACCUGGGCUCUGACGGUCCAAAUACCCACUGCAGCUUUACAGAAAUGUAAAGAACUUAUUUCUGAUUUGGCCUCUGUGUGUGUAGCUGUAGCACAGCUACAUUUACAGAAAUGUAAAGCUGCAGUGCCCAGCCCAUCCACCCAAUCUGGCUGAGUUUGUGGCCCCAGAGCUGGUGCUGGUGUGGGGAGGGCUGGGUGCAGCAGUGGGGCUGACAGUAUUGCAGCCUACGUGGAGAUGAUGACCGUGGCCCGCAGCCUUGCAUCCACACUGCCUGUUAUUUGAUCUCAGAGCAAGCCUAACUCAGUAGAAAACACUCAUUUAUUAUUAUUAUUAUUUUUAAUGCUGGAUUAGCUUUCUGCUGACGUUGCUCCCUGGGCCAAUUUGCUGCAGGACUGGAGAGCCAGGGACCGUGGCAGAGCACAGCUCUGUGGGACUGACGUGCAUCAACACCAAGAGGAUGCUGCAGGUGACGGAUGGCUGGGAGCAGCCAGGGAUGUCUGUGGGUCUCAGUGGCAACAUGGCCUGACCCAUUUGGUGCCCAAACGACUGACCUGCUUAAAUGAAAGAUGGCCAAGCUGCUUAGAAAAAAUAAAAGUUGAAGCAAGCAAAUAUCAGGAGGGACGUGAGCCUUUACCCGCAGGCAGGAGGAUGUGGAAGUUUUAUUGUUUUUCCUUUGGUGGUGUUCUUUUACGCUUUGGAUGCACAAUCCCAGCAAAUCUUGGCUGGGAUACAUCCAUGGCUGCUUCCCACUGCCUGCUGCCCUGCUCUGCUCCUGCAGGACAUACACUGAUGAAUGCAGCGUAAGCAGGAAAAAGGGGAGCACAGCACGACUGGACGCAUUAAUUGCUGCCUGCGUGGGGCCUUGUUUGAGUCCUGUGGUGUGUGUGAUAUUUCAUGUGACAGAGCUUUGCAACGCUUCAACUUUGUCCUGUCCACAAAAUGACAGUCUGAGCAUCAUUGCUUUCUAUAGAUCUGGAAUGGUGGCAAAAGAAAUUUAGUUUCCAGCCCCAGAUAUUCUGAUCCUCUAAGGCGGUGUCCUACAAACCCAGGUACAGGCUUUUCUGUAUUAGCUGCAAGUGCUGAACACUUUCUUCAUAGGAAUGAUAGGGAAGUGAAAGGAUAAAACCAAAAUAUGUGCUGCUGCGUUUUGUAUAGUGUAGAAAAGAAAAGGAGCAUAGUCCAAAUAACAACAUCUAGUGCUUUUACAGGGCUCCGUGCAUAUGGCAUAAAUGACAGCUAAUUAAACUUUAUAUCCUGCCUGCAAGAUAGGCAUGUAAUUAGUAUUACAUCCCUUCCGUAAUUAGGAGACCGCAUGCAAAAAGCUGUGCCUGCAGACCGUGCUGGGAGGCGGUGACUCAGCCCCACUCCGGCUGCGCUGUGACGGCUGAGAAGGUCGCGCAUCCGACCUGCCGGAGCGGGCGCUGCGGUGGGCGGCUGUGCCACGGCCCAGCAAACGCGGCUGGAUUCACUUUCCAGCACCGCCCGCCCCAAGCCUUUGUGCAGAAGCGCCUGCUUUUCCGUCUGCAAAAAGCACGACGCUGGCUCCGGCUCGGCCGUGCGUUUCACGGCUGAAUGGACAGGAAUGCCGCCCAGCCGCCGCGCUCCGUCCGGGA